rnacentral:rRNA from 1 species
CCUACGGGAGGCAGCAGUGAGGAAUAUUGGUCAAUGGGCGGGAGCCUGAACCAGCCAAGUCGCGUGAGGGAAGACGGUCCUAUGGAUUGUAAACCUCUUUAGGCGGGGAGCAAUGCCGGGCACGUGUGCCCGGAGGGAGAGUACCCGCAGAAUAAGCAUCGGCUAACUCCGUGCCAGCAGACGCGGUAAUACGGAGGAUGCGAGCGUUAUCGGGAUUUUUUGGGUUUAAAGGGGGCGGAGGAGGAUUUUUAAGGCAGCGGUAAAAUGUCCGGGCUCAACCCGGGCCGGCCGUUGAAACUGGGGAUCUUGAGUGGGCGAGAAGUAUGCGGAAUGCGUGGUGUAGCGGUGAAAUGCAUAGAUAUCACGCAGAACUCCGAUUGCGAAGGCAGCAUACCGGCGCCCGACUGACGCUGAGGCACGAAAGCGUGGGGAUCGAACAGGAUUAGAUACCCGGGUAGUC